UGGGGAUUAGCCAAGCGGUAAGGCAACGGACUUUGACUCCGUCACGCGAAGGUUCGAAUCCUUCAUCCCCAGCCA
rnacentral:tRNA from 1 species